CACAGUCUGCCGCUCUGACAAACUUAAUAGCAUAUUGUCUCCCACGUACUUGGCCAUUUUCAACACUUGGGUAGCUGGUCUUCGAGAAAAACAGCAAAACUCAUCUUCUUCUAGCAUCUGAAAGCAGAACCCGUCUUUUCUCUUAAAGAAUCGAACCCAUCUUCUUCUCGAAACUUUUCAGCCAAAAAGAACUUCCACAAUUCCCCUCUUUCUCAUUUCAUUCCCCUCUCUGCGAUUCUUUGACUCACAAACCCUAAGCCCUCUUUUCUUCGAUUUCCGAUUUUUGAAUUUCAAGAGGCAUGUAAUUCUCCUCUCUCCGCUAUUUAGACUUGAGAUUAGGGUUCUUAAUACUGAAAAAAGGAGGUUCUUCGAUCUGCUGGUUCACUGGGAAGAAGAAGCUGAUCAAGGAAUGUGAAGGUUAGGUCUUCGAAACCUCCAAUAGAUCUCACGAGUCACUGGCCGGGGCAUCCAAGAAAUUCGACGAGAUCAAGACGGCGGCGCUCAAUUUGGGAAAAGGAGCGAAAUGACACCUUUCUCCAGCGAUGGACAUGAGCCUAACGGAGGGGCCAAUAUUGAAGAUCACAGGGAGGACUAGUUUAGAAGGGCUCUGUCGUUUGCCUCACCCAAUUCACCUGCCACCACUGUCCAAACCCGCCGAGCAUGGAAAAUCUGAUCAGUUUGUCAAGGUCAGCCUCAGAUGAAAGAAACGAGGUUAUUGUGAAGUUCAAUGAUAAGGCACCAAUAUGCAAGUAAAGGAAUUUUGGAGCACCAACAUUGAUCUUCAUCUCCACCACAGAUACUAUGACUUGAUUAAUCCUAUAAUGUGCAUCUCCCCUGUCCAAAAUAGAAGCUGACUGCUGAAAUGCAAGCAAGGGAUAACACAGAGAUUGUCAAUGAAGCUACAAAAUUCAGAUACCCAAGUGGAAACCAAUUUAACUGUGGAGGCUUAACCAUAACAGUGCCCUAGGGUGUUGUAGGCCAUGGUGGACAUUACCACUCACAAUCUCCUGAAGCUUUUUUCUGUCAUGCUUCUGGUAUCAAAGAGUACUGUAUACAGCUUCUUGAAACAAGUUGAUGUGGUGGCAGAAGCAGAAAAAAAAAAAAAAAAAAAAAAAAAAAGAGCAGCAAGAGCAAGCAUUAGUCAUGGCCAAAGUGGGCAAGCAAUCAUAAAUAGUCCAAUAAACACUAAUCCAUUUCUAGCACACUAAUGUUUUUGUCCCUGAUGCAAUGUUAGACAAUAAAUUGUCACCGAUUCAUGAUUUUGUGGAACAAUGACUAAUACGAGUUGUAUCUUGGUGGUUCCAAUGUAUUUUUGAAUUUUAAAAUAUGGGU